AUUGAACGCUGGCGGCAGGCCUAACACAUGCAAGUCGAACGGUAACAGGAAGAAGCUUGCUUCUUUGCUGACGAGUGGCGGACGGGUGAGUAAUGUCUGGGAAACUGCCUGAUGGAGGGGGAUAACUACUGGAAACGGUAGCUAAUACCGCAUAACGUCGCAAGACCAAAGAGGGGGACCUUCGGGCCUCUUGCCAUCGGAUGUGCCCAGAUGGGAUUAGCUAGUAGGUGGGGUAACGGCCCACCUAGGCGACGAUCCCUAGCUGGUCUGAGAGGAUGACCAGCCACACUGGAACUGAGACACGGUCCAGACUCCUACGGGAGGCAGCAGUGGGGAAUAUUGCACAAUGGGCGCAAGCCUGAUGCAGCCAUGCCGCGUGUAUGAAGAAGGCCUUCGGGUUGUAAAGUACUUUCAGCGGGGAGGAAGGGAGUAAAGUUAAUACCUUUGCUCAUUGACGUUACCCGAAGAAGAAGCACCGGCUAACUCCGUG
rnacentral:rRNA from 1 species